CCCAAGUAUUGGGAAACUAAAUGAUUAAUAGCUAGUUAGUAUACGCAGCAUGGAUACACUGGACCAAAGGGUAAUAUAAAUCUAGGGCAAAACAGAGUGGGAUAGUAUAAAACUUCAUCAUGCUACUCAUAAGGAUGUGCAAUUUAAUACUUAUGAUUUUUUUUUUUAACUUCAGCAUUUUUCAACAUAAUAUUUUUGUACCAUAGUUUAUCACAGCUAUCUGUAAUCAUGGAAAGGGAAACUGAAGAUAAAGGAGACUAAGAUAGAUCAUUUAUUGUGCAUAUUCUCUGGUGACAUUCUACUUUGUGACUACUGCUGAGACUCACAGAUGGAAGUGAAUCCUUUCAACUGUUUUUGAAUAUACAAGGUGGUCAACGAAUCACUGAGAAGACACCAAAACUGUCUGCCAGAUGUCGACCACUGAUUAAUUUGUCUUAAGUUCAGCCAAAAGGGAAGAAAAUAUGAUGGGUGGAGCAUGAACAGCAAGCACAAUCAACAUCUGACCAGCCAAGGUUUCCUGUCACCUUGGGAACAAAAUUGAUUGGCACUGGCUUCCUGUGUACAAGUUAAAAACCAGUGGCAACUGAAGUAACAAGAAUAAACUACAGAUAAGAGACUUGGAAAUUAAAUCAAGUCAUAUCACCAAAACUUCAGCUUGAAACCCUAAGCAGAAAAGUUCUAAGAUAACUUUUGAGGGCAUUUUAAAAGUUAUUAUUUUUAAAAAAUUUAAAGAGAUUUAUUUCUUGUCAAUUUGCCAUUUGUGGCAGUCUGAAAUCAUUAAAAAAGCAUGUACAAAUUUA